GUCCUUGUCUCUUCUGAACUCUUCUCUGUCCAUCUCUGCCCUCAUCUCUUUGAACUCUCCUCUGUCCAUUUCUGUCCUUGUCUCUUCUGAACUCUUCUCUGUCCAUUUCUGCCCUCAUCUCUUCUGAACUCUUCUCUGUCCAUUUCUGCCCUUAUCUCUUCUGAACUCUUCUCUGUCCAUCUCUGCCCUCAUCUCUUUGAACUCUUCUCUGUCCAUUUCUGUCCUUGUCUCUUCUGAACUCUUCUCUGUCCAUCUCUGCCCUCAUCUCUUUGAACUCUUCUCUGUCCAUUUCUGUCCUUGUCUCUUCUGAACUCUUCUCUGUCCAUCUCUGCCCUCAUCUCUUUGAACUCUUCUCUGUCCAUUUCUGCCCUUGUCUCUUCUGAACUCUUCUCUGUCCAUUUCUGCCCUCAUCUCUUCUGAACUCUUCUCUGUCCAUUUCUGCCCUUAUCUCUUCUGAACUCUUCUCUGUCCAUCUCUGCCCUCAUCUCUUUGAACUCUCCUCUGUCCAUUUCUGUCCUUGUCUCUUCUGAACUCUUCUCUGUCCAUUUCUGCCCUCAUCUCUUCUGAACUCUUCUCUGUCCAUUUCUGCCCUUAUCUCUUCUGAACUCUUCUCUGUCCAUCUCUGCCCUCAUCUCUUUGAACUCUUCUCUGUCCAUUUCUGUCCUUGUCUCUUCUGAACUCUUCUCUGUCCAUCUCUGCCCUUGUCUCUUCUGAACUCUUCUCUGUCCAUCUCUGUCCUUAUCUCUUCUGAACUCUUCUCUGUCCAUUUCUGCCCUCAUCUCUUCUGAACUCUUCUCUGUCCAUUUCUGCCCUCGUCUCUUCUGAACUCUUCUCUGUCCAUUUCUGCCCUCAUCUCUUCUGAACUCUUCUCUGUCCAUUUCUGCCCUCAUCUCUUCUGAACUCUUCUCUGUCCAUUUCUGCCCUCAUGUCUUCUGAACUCUUCUCUGUCCAUUUCUGCCCUCGUCUCUUCUGAACUCUUCUCUGUCCAUCUCUGCCCUCAUCUCUUUGAACUCUUCUCUGUCCAUUUCUGUCCUUGUCUCUUCUGAACUCUUCUCUGUCCAUCUCUGCCCUCAUCUCUUUGAACUCUUCUCUGUCCAUUUCUGUCCUUGUCUCUUCUGAACUCUUCUCUGUCCAUCUCUGCCCUCAUCUCUUUGAACUCUUCUCUGUCCAUUUCUGUCCUUGUCUCUUCUGAACUCUUCUCUGUCCAUUUCUGCCCUCAUCUCUUCUGAACUCUUCUCUGUCCAUCUCUGCCCUCAUCUCUUUGAACUCUUCUCUGUCCAUUUCUGUCCUUGUCUCUUCUGAACUCUUCUCUGUCCAUCUCUGCCCUUGUCUCUUCUGAACUCUUCUCUGUCCAUCUCUGUCCUUAUCUCUUCUGAACUCUUCUCUGUCCAUUUCUGCCCUCAUCUCUUCUGAACUCUACUCUGUUCAUGUUUCAUCUGCUUCUCUAUUGCCCUUAUCUCUUCUAACAAUGUCUCUGCAGGAGGCUGAGGUGGAUCAUACAGCACUAGGGACUGGAGCUGCUGUACCGCUCACCAUAGAGAUAUUUUGAGAGACCCCCCCCCCCAAGGAUGGAAACAGUCUAUCUACAUUCCUUAUGUUGUUUUCCAGAGGGAAAAGCCACCUGGAUCUCUUGGAUCUCGUUGUUCUUGGAAUGAUGGCUCCAAUGAGUGUCACCAAUAAGCAAACUAAUACUCACUAGGGCAGGCUCCAUCUGUGCCUCCUCAUUGUGUAUGUGCUCCUCACCUCCCCCUCUGUCUGGGCAGGGUACAUUCUUUACCAAACCAAUAACUCAACUGCAAGCGUGUCAUCAAAAUCUUUAUUUUUAUUUCAGUCCAAGAUCCCAAAUCAGAAUGAAAUUAAAGAAAAAAAGUGCCAGUAUUUAUCCAAUUUAGUGCUGAGCCCAGAGGGCAAUAAGGCUCUGCCUGCAGCUCCCGUUUGUGAAACUAUAUACACAUAGCAACAAACAUGGGUGUAUAUAUUCCUGAAAACAUGUCUAAACCUGUUUAUAAAAUCUGUUAACCAGUGAAUAAAUUGAUUUUUAUCAUAA